CCUACGGGCGGCAGCAGUCGCGAAAACUUCGCAAUGGGGGCAACCCCGACGAGCGAAUUCCAAGUGCCAGCACUUUGUGUUGGCUGUUCUCUUGUCUCAAAAACAAGAGGAAUAAGGGGCGGGUAAGACGGGUGCCAGCCGCCGCGGUAAUACCCGCGCCCCAAGUGGUGGUCGAUAUUAUUGAGCCUAAAGCGUCCGUAGCCGGUCUUUUAAAUCCUUGGGUAAAUCGGGCAGCUUUACUGUCCGACUUCCGAGGAGACUGGAAGACUUGGGACCGGAAGAGGUCAGAGGUACUUCUGGGGUAGGGGUAAAAUCCUGUAAUCCUGGAAGGACCACCGGUGGCGAAGGCGUCUGACUAGAACGGAUCCGACGGUGAGGGACGAAGCCCUGGGGAGCAAACAGGAUUAGAUACCCUGGUAGUC
rnacentral:rRNA from 1 species